UCGGGCGUUCCCCGUUCGGGGGACAGGGUGACAGGUGGUGCAUGGUUGUCGUCAGCUCGUGUCGUGAGAUGUUGGGUUAAGUCCCGCAACGAGCGCAACCCUCGACCUUAGUUGCCAGCAUUCAGUUGGGCACUCUAAGGUGACUGCCGGCUAAAAGUCGGAGGAAGUGGGGAUGACGUCAAAUCAUCAUGCCCCUUAUGACCUGGGCUACACACGUGCUACAAUGGGCGGUACAAAGGGUCGCGAACCCGCGAGGGGGAGCCAAUCCCAAAAAGCCGCUCUCAGUUCGGAUUGCAGGCUGCAACUCGCCUGCAUGAAGCCGGAAUCGCUAGUAAUCGCGGAUCAGCAUGCCGCGGUGAAUACGUUCCCGGGCCUU
rnacentral:rRNA from 1 species